GACGAACGCUGGCGGCGUGCCUAAUACAUGCAAGUCGAGCGGGCCUCCGGAGGUGCUUGCACCUCCGGAAGGCCAGCGGCGGACGGGUGAGUAACACGUGGGCAACCUGCCUUUGAGGCCGGGAUAACACCGGGAAACCGGUGCUAAUACCGGAUGCGUCCCCUUUCGCGCCUGCGAGAGGGGAGAAAGACGGUCUUUAAGGCCGUCGCUACACGAGGGGCCCGCGGCGCAUUAGCUGGUUGGUGGGGUAAGGGCCUACCAAGGCGACGAUGCGUUGCCGACCUGAGAGGGUGAUCGGCCACACUGGGACUGAGACACGGCCCAGACUCCUGCGGGAGGCAGCAGUAGGGAAUCAUCCGCAAUGGGCGAAAGCCUGACGGUGCAACGCCGCGUGAGUGAGGAAGGUUUUCGGAUCGUAAAGCUCUGUUGUGAGGGAAGAACAGCUUCCGGAGGAAAUGCCGGAGGUUUGCCGGUACCUCACCAGAAAGCCCCGGCUAACUACGUGCCAGCCGCCGCGGUAA
rnacentral:rRNA from 1 species